rnacentral:rRNA from 1 species
UGGGGAAUAUUGGACAAUGGGCGCAAGCCUGAUCCAGCAAUACCGCGUGAGUGAUGAAGGUCUUCGGAUUGUAAAGCUCUUUUAGUGAGGAAGAUAAUGACGGUACUCACAGAAAAAGCACCGGCUAACUUCGUGCCAGCAGCCGCGGUAAUACGAAGGGUGCUAGCGUUGUUCGGAAUUAUUGGGCGUAAAGCGUAUGUAGGCGGUUUGGUAAGUCAGUUGUGAAAGCCCUGGGCUCAACCCAGGAAUUGCAACCGAAACUACCUAGCUUGAAUUUGGUGGGGGAUGGUAGAAUUCCUAGUGUAGGGGUGAAAUCCGUAGAUAUUAGGAGGAAUACCGGUGGCGAAGGCGACCAUCUACACCAAUAUUGACGCUGAGAUACGAAAGCGUGGGGAGCAAACAGG